rnacentral:sRNA from 1 species
AUCUAUCUAUCUAUCUCCCUCCCUCCCUCCUCCCUACCAGCCAAGCGGCCUGCUCAAUAUCCAAUCAAUCUCUAUGGGAAUAAACAUCGCCAUCUAGAUACCCAUCUCUCUAUCAAUGCUAGCUUACUAGCUGAUUAUCUAUCUUGUAAUAUAUAUAUAUAUAUAUAUAUGAAGUCAAUAGAGCUCAGGCUCACACUCACUUCUGAUUCCAGCUGUUCCGACCUACUUCUCUAAGUUACACUUCAUUCAUUCAAAAGAGUGUCUCUCACUAGAUGAUUGUUCCAGUUACCUGAGAGAUAGAUAUGUUGAGCUCACAAUCACAAGUUUUCAAUUUUGCAGUCAAUGGUUGAAGCAAGGCACAUCUGUGGAGGCGGGCCAUGCCAUCAACAUCUGACAGUCUACACGUCGCGUCGGGCAAGGGGCCCUGGACCUUCUUCAUCUACGAUUCUUCGUUAACGGUCACUGAUGCCGGUAGGCGAUUGUGAGAAUGAGGGGGAAAAAUCGGAGAUUUGAUCUGUAUGGUUAGUGGUUAAGGAGAAAAUGUGAUUGCUCUGCAAUACAUCCUGUGCGCCAUCGGCGAGUUUCUAGGUAGAGUUGCGGGGUCACAUCACCAGACUUCUGCCGAUGUAUCCCGGUUUACGGGGUGUGGAGAGAGGGUGGUUGGUUUGGCCCCUCUCAAUUUUUCUCCAUCUUUUGUGAUAAAUAUAUAUAUAUAUAUAUUUUGGUUCUUGAGCGAUGUAAAUUCAAUUGAAGAUUUUUUUUUUGUUUCUUUUUUUGACGAAUAUAUCGAUGGUUUCUUUUAGCGGAGCGAUUAUAACUGGAGGGUUUGCAUUGCGAUGUAUGUACAUGUACCUUUAUAUGCGAUGGAAGACUGGGAUGUGGCGGAUGUUGGAUACUUUCGUGAAACGCGAAUGGUGUG